rnacentral:rRNA from 1 species
AUUGAACGCUGGCGGCAGGCUUAACACAUGCAAGUCGAGCGAGAACGGGUUAUAGCUUGCUAUAAUUGUCAGCUAAGUGGCGCACGGGUGAGUAAUGUAUAGGUAAUAUGCCUCUUACUAAGGGAUAACAAAUGGAAACGUUUGCUAAUACCUUAUACUCCUUAUUAACAGAAGUUAAUAAGGGAAAGAUUUAUUGGUAAGAGAUUAGCCUGUAUUGUAUCAGUUAGUUGGUGGGGUAAUGGCUUACCAAGACUAUGACACAUAACUGGUUUGAGAGGAUGAUCAGUCACACUGGAACUGAGACACGGUCCAGACUCCUACGGGAGGCAGCAGUGGGGAAUAUUGCACAAUGGACGAAAGUCUGAUGCAGCAACGCCGCGUGGAGGAUGACACAUUUCGGUGCGUAAACUCCUUUUAUAUGAGAAGAUAAUGACGGUAUUAUAUGAAUAAGCACCGGCUAACUCCGUGCCAGCAGCCGCGGUAACAC